AGCGCAGCUACCAUGCAGUCGAGCGGUAGCACAGAAAAUCUUGCUUCUUGACUGACGAGCGGCGGACGCGUGAGUAGUGCAUAGGAAGCUGCCCGAUGGUGGGGGAUACCCUGGGGAAACCCAGGCUAAUACCGCAUACGUCCUACGGCAUCUUAUUUCUCCGGCUCCCGCUAUGGAAUGAGCCUAUGUCGGACCUAUUAGUUGGUUGGUAAAGGCUCACCUUAGCAACAAUCCGAAACUGGUCUGACCUGAUGAUCAGACCCAUCGCACUGGAGACGCGACCCGAACUCCUAUCCUAGGCAACAGUGCAGAGUAUUGUAUUGUGGGCGGGAGCCUGAUCCGAUCAUGCCGUGCGUGGGGCGAGAGGACUGGCCUAGGAGUGCACUUUCGGCGAUAAAGAACGCCUAACGUCUCUUCCCGCUAGAAUUGACAUCACUCUAGAAGAAGCAUCGGCUAACUCCGUGCCAGCAGCCGCGGUAAUACGGAGGAUGCAAGCGUUAUCGGAAUCACUGGGCGUAAAGCGCGCGUAGGUGCACUGAUAAGCCGAUUGUGAAAGCUCCGGGCUCAACUGCGAACUGGCACCCUGAAUCUCUCAAAGAUAAGACUGCAUGAUGAGAGUAGUUAGAUGCCCUGUGUAAACAGUUGAAAUGCCUAGAGAUCGGAAGCAUAUAACAUCGAGUACUGACGGCUUCUUGAUGCAGUGUCACUGUUACAUGGAGUGACGAAAGUCAGGAUCAGAUAGACAAGCAGGAUACAUCCGCCAUAGUACCAUGCCGUAAUCGAUCUCGAAUCAGACGGAUUGGUCGCGCUAGCGCAUUGAGUGAGGAAGUUAGCAAGAGAAAUCGUCCUCCUGAGGACUACGGCGGCAAGCGUAAACAUCAAAGGAAUUGACGGGGAUCCGCGCAAGCGGUGGCGCACGUUGUAUAAUUCGAUGCAACGCGAAGAUCCUUGCGUACUCUUGACAUCCUGCGAAUUCGGUAGAGCUGAUUUAGUGCCUUCGGGAUCGCAGAGCCAGGUGCAGCAUGGCUCUCGUCAGUUCGUGUUGUGAAAUGUUGGGUUAAGUCCUGUAUCGAGCGCAGACCUCGUCCUUAUUGGCCAGCACGUAAUGGUGGGAAUUCUAAGGAGUCUGCCGGUGACAAACCGGAGGAAGGUGGGGACGACGUCAAGUCAUCAUGCACCUUACGAGUAGGGUUACACACGUGCUACAAUGGCCGGUACAAAGGGCUGACAACUCGCGAGAGUGAGGUAAUCCCGAAAAGUCGGUCUCAGUCCGGAUUGGAGUCUCCAUCUGGAAUUCGUGAAGUCGGAAUCGGUAGUAAUCGUGAUUCAGAAUGUCACGGUGAAUACGUUAUCGGGCCUUGUACACACCGCCCGUCACACCAUGGGACUGGGAAGCACCAGAAGUGGUUAGCCUAACGCAAGAGAGUCACCACGAGGUCAGGGGAC
rnacentral:rRNA from 1 species